rnacentral:rRNA from 1 species
UCUGACACAGGUGCUGCAUGGCUGUCGUCAGCUCGUGUCGUGAGGAUGUUGGGUUAAGUCCCGUAGCGAGCGCAACCCUUGUCCUUAGUUACCAGCACGUUAUGGUGGGCACUCUAAGGAGACUGCCGGUGACAAACCGGAGGAAGGUGGGGAUGACGUCAAGUCAUCAUGGCCCUUACGGCCUGGGCUACACACGUGCUACAAUGGUCGGUACAAAGGGUUGCCAAGCCGCGAGGUGGAGCUAAUCCCAUAAAACCGAUCGUAGUCCGGAUCGCAGUCUGCAACUCGACUGCGUGAAGUCGGAAUCGCUAGUAAUCGUGAAUCAGAAUGUCACGGUGAAUACGUUCCCGGGCCUU